rnacentral:rRNA from 1 species
GAUGAACGCUGGCGGCGUGCCUAAUACAUGCAAGUCGAGCGAACAGAUGAGGAGCUUGCUCUUCUUACGUUAGCGGCGGACGGGUGAGUAACACGUGGAUAACCUACCUAUAAGACUGGGAUAACUCCGGGAAACCGGAGCUAAUACCGGAUAAUAUAUUGAACCGCAUGGUUCAAUAGUGAAAGACGGCUUUGCUUUCACUUAUCGAUUGAUCCGCGCCGCAUUAGCUAUUUGGUAAGGUAACGGCUUACCAAGGCAACAAUGCGUAGCCGACCGGAGAGGGGGAUCGGCCAACCGGGAACGGAGAAACGGUCAAGACUCCUACGGGAGGCAGCAGAAGGGAAUCUUCGGAAAGGGGGGAAAGCCUGCCGGAGCAACGCCGGGGGGGGGAUGAAGGUUUUCGGAUGGUAAGCCUCUGUGAGUAGGGAAGAACAGAUGUGUAAGUAAAUAGGCACGUCUUGACGGUACCUAAUCAGAAAGCCACGGCUAACUACGUG